rnacentral:rRNA from 1 species
CCUACGGGAGGCAGCAGUGAGGAAUAUUGGUCAAUGGGCGAGAGCCUGAACCAGCCAAGUAGCGUGAAGGAUGACUGCCCUACGGGUUGUAAACUUCUUUUAUAUGGGAAUAAAUUGAUACACGUGUGCCUUUUUGUAUGUACCUUAUGAAUAAGGAUCGGCUAACUCCGUGCCAGCAGCCGCGGUAAUACGGAGGAUCCGAGCGUUAUCCGGAUUUAUUGGGUUUAAAGGGAGCGUAGGUGGGUUGUUAAGUCAGUUGUGAAAGUUUGCGGCUCAACCGUAAAAUUGCACUUGAUACUGGCAGCCUUGAGUACAGUAGAGGUAGGCGGAAUUCGUGGUGUAGCGGUGAAAUGCUUAGAUAUCACGAAGAACUCCGAUUGCGAAGGCAGCUCACUAGACUGCAACUGACACUGAGGCUCGAAAGUGUGGGUAUCAAACAGGAUUAGAUACCCGGGUAGUC